AACGCGCCCGACGGUGAGGGAUGAAAGCUGGGGGAGCGAACCGGAUUAGAUACCCGGGUAGUUCCAGCUGUAAACGAUGCAGGCUAGGUGUUUGGACGGCCACGUGCCGUUCUAGUGCCGCAGGGAAGCUGUUAAGCCUGCCGCCUGGGGAGUACGAUCGCAAGAUUGAAACUUAAAGGAAUUGGCGGGGGAGCACCACAAGGGGUGAAGCUUGCGGUUUAAUUGGAGUCAACGCCGGA
rnacentral:rRNA from 1 species